UACGGGGGGAGCAAGCGUUGUUCGGAUUUACUGGGCGUAAAGGGCGCGUAGGCGGUCAGCACAAGUCAGUUGUGAAAUCUCCGGGCUUAACUCGGAAAGGUCAACUGAUACUGUGCGACUAGAGUGCAGAAGGGGCAACUGGAAUUCUCGGUGUAGCGGUGAAAUGCGUAGAUAUCGAGAGGAACACCUGCGGCGAAGGCGGGUUGCUAGGCUGACACUGACGCUGAGGAGCGAAAGCGUGGGGAGCAAACAGG
rnacentral:rRNA from 1 species